rnacentral:lncRNA from 1 species
GCAGGUGGCCUCCAGGUGCAAAGUGGGAAGUGUGAGUCCUCAGUCUUGGGCUAUUCGGCCACGUGCCUGCCGGACAUGGGACGCUGGAGGGUCAGCAGCGUGGAGUCCUGGCCUUUUGCGUCCACGGGUGGGAAAUUGGCCAUUGCCACGGCGGGAACUGGGACUCAGGCUGCCUCCCGGCCGUUUCUCAUCAGUCCACUGGACUCGUGGGCGCUCGCACUGGCGCUGAUGUAGUUUCCUGACCUCUGACCCGUAUUGUCUCCAGAUUAAAGGUACGACAUUUGGAGGCCCCAGCGAGAAACGCCACCGGGCGAGAGCCGGGCCCGCUGUGUGCUCCCCCGGAAGGACAGCCAGCUUGUAGGGGGGAGCGCCACCUGAAAAAAAAUUUCCAGGUCCCCAAAGGGUGACCGUCUUCCGGAGGACAGCGGAUCGACUACCAUGUGGGUGCCCACAAAAAUUCCACCUCUGAGUCCUCAACUGCUGACCCCGGGGUCAGUAGACAUGGGGUUUCACCAUGUUGCCCAGUCCAGUCUCAAACUUCUGGCUCAAGCAGUCCUCCCGCC